rnacentral:sRNA from 1 species
GGAUGAAGUCCUCCACUGUGGGUGGUGGAAGAGGCUUCUUCUACCUCCUCCCCAUAGUUCCUGAAGGCACCAAGACUGUCACAGUAAUUGCCCCUAAAAUGCUCAUAGACUUCUUUGUGGAGAGGAAGAUAAUUUCCUUUGGUGGAUGCAUUGCACAGCUCUUCUUCUACACUUUGUUGGGGCUUCGGAGAUGUUCUUGCUCACAGUGAUGGCCUUUGACCGCUAUGCUGCUAUCUGCCGACCCCUCCACUAUGCUACCAUCAUGAAUCCACGUCUCUGCUGUAUCCUGGUGGCUCUCUCCUGGAUGGGGGGCUUCAUUCAUUCUAUAAUACAGGAACGCAAAGGCACGGAUUGACGUUAUGAGUCCUGAUUUUUGAGUUGACUUCUCAUCACCUGGAAGUGAAUAAAACAG